rnacentral:rRNA from 1 species
GACGAACGCUGGCGGCGUGCUUAACACAUGCAAGUCGAACGGAAAGGCCCUGCUUUUGUGGGGUGCUCGAUUGGCGAACGGGUGUGUAACACGUGAGUAACCUGCCCUUGACUUUGGGAUAACUUCAGGAAACUGGGGCUAAUACCGGAUAGGAGCUCCUGCUGCAUGGUGGGGGUUGGAAAGUUUCGGCGGUUGGGGAUGGACUCGCGGCUUAUCAGCUUGUUGGUGGGGUAGUGGCUUACCAAGGCUUUGACGGGUAGCCGGCCUGAGAGGGUGACCGGCCACAUUGGGACUGCGAUACGGCCCAGACUCCUACGGGAGGCAGCAGUGGGGAAUAUUGCACAAUGGGCGGAAGCGUGAUGCAGCAACGCCGCGUGCGGGAUGACGGCCUUCGGGUUGUAAACCGCUUUCGCCUGUGACGAAGCGUGAGUGACGGUAAUGGGUAAAGAAGCACCGGCUAACUACGUG